rnacentral:rRNA from 1 species
UACGAACCGUCCAAACGUUAUUCGGAUUCAUUGGGCUUAAAGGGUACGUAGGCGGCUCUAUCAGUCGGGUGUGAAAUCCCUCGGCUCAACCGAGGAACUGCGCCCGAUACUGUAGUGCUUGAGGGAGACAGAGGUAAGCGGAACUGAUGGUGGAGCGGUGAAAUGCGUUGAUAUCAGCAGGAACACCGGUGGCGAAAGCGGCUUACUGGGUCGCUUCUGACGCUGAGGUACGAAAGCUAGGGGAGCGAACGGG